rnacentral:rRNA from 1 species
GUGCCAGCCGCCGCGGUAAUACGUAGGUGGCAAGCGUUGUCCGGAUUUAUUGGGCGUACAGGGCGCGCAGGCGGUUCGUUAGGUUCGAGGUGAAAUCUCUUGGCUCAACUGGGAGAGGUCUUCGGAUACCGGCGGACUUGAGGAGAGCAGAGGUGAGUGGAAUUCUGGGUGUAGUGGUGAAAUGCGUAGAUAUCCAGAGGAACACCAGUGGCGAAGGCGACUCACUGGGCUCCACCUGACGCUGAGGCGCGAAAGCGUGGGGAGCGAACCGGAUUAGAUACCCCCGUAGUCC